GUAGGGUCCGAGCGUUUAUCCGGAAUCAUUGGGCGUAAAGAGCUCGUAGGCGGUUCAGCAAGUCGGCUGUGAAAGUUCGAGGCUCAACCUCGAAAUUGCAGUCGAUACUGCUGUGACUUGAAUUCGGUAGAGGAGAAUGGAAUUCCCGGUGUAGCGGUGAAAUGCGCAGAUAUCGGGAGGAACACCAGUAGCGAAGGCGGUUCUCUGGGCCGAUAUUGACGCUGAGGAGCGAAAGCGUGGGGGAGCAAACAGGAUUAGAUACCCUGGUAGUCCACGCCGUAAACGUUGGAUGCUAGGUGUGGCGGUCUACCAACGACUGCCGUGCCGAAGCUAACGCAUUAAGCAUCCCCGCCUGGGAGUACGGCCGCAAGGCUA
rnacentral:rRNA from 1 species